UGGGGGAUAUUGCGCAAUGGGGGAAACCCUGACGCAGCAACGCCGCGUGAAGGAAGAAGGUCUUCGGAUUGUAAACUUUUGUCUUGUGGGAAGAUAAUGACGGUACCACAGGAGGAAGCUCCGGCUAACUACGUGCCAGCAGCCGCGGUAAUACGUAGGGAGCGAGCGUUGUCCGGAUUUACUGGGUGUAAAGGGUGCGUAGGCGGCUGAUUAAGUCAGGUGUGAAAUACCGCAGCUUAACUGCGGGGCUGCACUUGAAACUGAUCGGCUUGAGUGAUGGAGAGGUAAGCGGAAUUCCUAGUGUAGCGGUGAAAUGCGUAGAUAUUAGGAGGAACACCAGUGGCGAAGGCGGCUUACUGGACAUUAACUGACGCUGAGGCACGAAAGCGUGGGGAGCAAACGGGAUUAGAUACCCUGGUAGU
rnacentral:rRNA from 1 species